UUGCUUUUGGCAACUCUCGCCAUCAAAGUCAUUCCCUAUCAUCCUCAAAAGUCAAGACCUACAUUUUAUAGCCUUUAGAGUGAAACCUUCUCUGCACAGCCACAAUCCAAUAUCCACUUCUCUGCAUAUAACCAAACCGAGGCCAUUAGCCUCACAAUUUCAACUCUCCUUCUCAAACAAGAAAAAGAAUAAGUGCAGAGGUAAGUUUUAAGCUUGUAUUUCCUCAUUUCUUUCCAUUAUUCAUCCCACAAGUAUUGAGGAACCAAUAUGUGCAGCCUCUCUUCCUUUGCUUCGAUCAGAGGUUUACUAGCAGCAAAUCCAGCAACUACACCUUUCAAUUUCAGCAAAACAAAUCAAAGGUUUCAUAUAUGAAUUUCCUCCGUUCAUUUACACUUGCUCACAGUUAGAACACUUCAAUUGCAGUACCACAAACAUUUUCAGACUUCAAAUUCAUGAUAAGCAAUACACAAACCAUUUCAUCCAUAUAGGUAUACAUAUCGAUUAUGCUUAUAUGAAAUCACUCAGAAUUUAUAUAUGUACAUACGCAUAUUUUGAGUAUAACUAUUUUUUUUACAAGAGAUUGAAUGAGUUUAAAAACCUACUAGAAUAAGAGAAAGAAGAAAGAUGGAGUCUUGAGUUUUGAUUUUGUUUGUCAAGCCUGAGUGUUUUGGGGCAUCUGAGUGGGGAGUUGGUCCGGUGGUGAUGGCAAAGGGAGAUGAGGCGUCGACGGCGCUGCUGUCCGUCCGGUGGUGGUGGUCUGCCACUGACCGAAGAGAGAGAGAUUUCGAGGGAGGUCAGUGGCGGAGGUUGGCUUUCUCAGCUAAUGCGUCCGUCGGAUGAGGGAAGGAGGCGGCAUCACGUGGGUGGCGUCGUAGUCGGCGGGAGUCAGAGAGAGGGAGGCCAGGGCGCGGCGGCCCUGCCGCUGUCGCUCGGCCACAGACGGAGAGAGAGAUGGGGACGAGAGAAGGGAGAACCGAGGGUGUCAGUGGCUGUCGCCGCUUGCUCCGGCGAGCUCCGGCGGCGGUGGAUUUCGAUGGUGGAGGGGUGGAUUUUCUGGCAGAACUGAGGGAGAAGGGGGCGAGCAGAUUUUGAGAAGGAGAUAGGGAGACCCGUGUGUGUGCGUUGAGUGAGGAAAUAGGAGAGUUAGGGCUAGAGUGUUGGGCUUCUAUUUUGGGCCGAUUUUAAUAAGCUGGGCUGCCCCUUUUUUGUUGGGCUAGGAUUAUUCAUUGAGUGUUGGGCUGGUUUAUUUUAAAUUUUUAGGCCCGAUUUUUCUUAUUUAUUUGUUGGGUUACAGAUUUUUCAAAAGAGAUUGGGCCCUAUUAUUUAAUUUCUUGGGCUGCCUUUUUCUAAAAUUGGGUCAUGCAGUUUACUUUUAAUUAAUUAGACUUAAUUGGUUUGAUUAAUUAUUUUUAAAGAAUAAUUUGCUUAAUAAUAUUAUAUGAUUAUUAUGUGUAUAUUUUAAGUAAUCACUUAUUAUAUGCUAAGCAUGACAUGACAUUGCAUUUGCAUAAUGCAAUAAAAUAAUUUAUGAUUUAAUUGGUCUUAUUUGUAAAUCCAAUUAUUUAAGAAAAAGCGAGUAAGGAUAUUGUUGGUGUCGUUGACUCAAGAGUUAAUUUUUAAUUAUUUAUUUAUUAAAUUUUGAAAACCCGACGUGAUGAAUCAUAGUAGUUAAACACACCCACUAAGACUUUAAGUUAGUUUCACGAGACCUAUUAAGAAUAGAAUUUCUUGUAGGCUUUGUGGACCAAGGGGAUUAGCGCUGCUUUCCCGAGAUGAGUUUAUGUGAUUAUGAUCUUCAGGCUUGGCCUAUCCAGGUGGGUUUACUUUCCAAAUGUAUAAGUAUGAUUGAGUUAUUAAGCUCUAAAUGUUUCAAUGAAAUGCAAACUGUUUUUUCAAUAAAGUGCAAACUGUUUAUCCAAUAAAAUGUUUAUGUGCACUCUGCUCUGUUUAAGGCUCGCAAAGUUAAUCAAUUGAGGUUCUCUUAUGAUCUAACACGUUAUUUGAGAAUUGUGUGCACUUGUUAGCUGACUUGGUGGGUUGAUCUCCAUCGGGCACUAACCAAGCGUUAUAAGGGUCUCGGCUGAUGUGUUCCGAGCAUGAGAAAUAUGAGGCCUGUCUAGGUAGCGUCCCGAGGUCAAAGUAAACUUGUCUGGGUUACGCCCUCAGUUCAAGUAAGCAGGAGACAGAGAUCCGUUGGUGGCUAAAAGGUCCGGAUCACAGCGAGUAACAGAAAUGGAGUGUGACAUGUGCGCACAAAUGAAAGAAAUUAUUUUAAUAUGCUUAGAAGUUCUUUCAAUUUAAAACCUUCUAAGUUAUGUCAAUUAUGAUUGGAUAAACUGUCUUUACGAAAAUAUGAAAUGUUUCAGAAAAUGCAUGCCCACUAAGUACAUUAGUACUUAGCCCAAAAGUACUUUCAAAUGUUUUCAGGUUGGCUGGCUGGUGCUGACGGGACUGAGCUGAGGCUAGGGUUCAACUUCAUUUUAAGACUUCUGCUGUAGCAGUAGAUAAUAUCAUGUAUUUUGAAUUCUUAACUUAAGAUUUUCAUGUUAGAUUUAGAAUGACAUCUCUGAUUGAGCUUAAACACUUAACUCCUAAUUUUAUGCUAAUGAAUACGGGUUAUGAGAAGCAUGAAACAAAACUUGUGAUCCAAAGGGGCCUAACCCG
rnacentral:lncRNA from 1 species